CACUUUGUACCGCUUCUUGAUCUGUCAUCAGUUACGGAGGUGAGAUCCCAGCAAAGCCCUCAAGCCCAUUCCACCUAGGUGAUGUGUCUCCAGUCCUCCCUCUGCCUUUAAGCUCUAACCUGGGACUGCUGGUGAGAGUGGUGACGUGCCCGAAAGUAGAAAGGACACACACAGACAAGAGCAUGGAACUCGCUGUAUCGCCUCGGCACCGUGUGUCUGCGUCCGCUGUACAGCACCUCGACUUGGAACACCUAGCGGGCGGAGGAGUGCGGGCGGCUGGCCUAAAUGUUGCGGCAGGACCCGCGCCCACUUUCUGGCGUUCGAAAGGGACAAAGACAACUUGGAUCCCACUAGAGCCCAGAUCAUCAUCCGAGGGACUGGCAAAGCCAGUAACCCCGAACCUUUGCGAUGGGCGUCCUACCCCGGUAUCCUGGUUCCCUUUUGCGCUCGUCGAGGGGAUGGAUUUUCGGUGGAUCCCCACGCUCACCCUCCAUCCAUUGCUCACCAUGUGGC